CAAAUUAAUUAAAGAAUCUUCCAGAAUGAGGUGCAAUGUUGCUUUGGAAGUACAUUGCUUUAGCAAGCUGAAAUGGGCAGCUCAGCAUCCUUCUGGAAAAUCGUGGAGAGGGGCCCUCUUGUUUUAGUCCAGCCAUCAAAAGAAAAGGGAUUAAAGCCACCACACAGCAUCACUUCUGUUGCUGUUACAAACAUCCAUUUCAUGGGAGACAGAGCUAAAGAUUGGACUCCAAGCUUAAAGAGCCUUCAAUUUGCCGAAGUAAGAACAUUCCACAUCAACUGAACAUCAGCUGCUGGGCUCUUGUGCUGUCCUCACCCCACUGGAGGUGGAGCACAUGCAGGGGAAAAUGUGAUGGACAAGUGCUG